rnacentral:misc_RNA from 1 species
CCCAGCUUUCACUGGUCUUAAGGCAGCCAGUGCUACCACAGCCAAAGUUAAUGCCAGUCCCAAGGUCACGGCUUCUCUAGUCCCAAGGCUCGCUAUCAAGGCUUCAAUGAAGGACGUGGGUGUUGCAGUUGUGGCCACUGCAGCAAGUGCAAUUCUCGCCAGCAAUGCCAUGGCCAUUGAGGUAUUGCUCGGAGGUGAUGAUGGGUCACUGGCCUUUGUUCCCAGCAACUUCUCUGUGGCUGCCGGAGAAAAGAUUGUGUUCAAGAACAACCAAGGCUUCCCACACAACGUUGUGUUCGAGGAGGAUGAAAUUCCAAGUGGGGUUGAUG